AUUGAACGCUGGCGGCAUGCCUUACACAUGCAAGUCGAACGGUAACAGGUCUUCGGAUGCUGACGAGUGGCGAACGGGUGAGUAAUACAUCGGAACGUGCCCGAUCGUGGGGGAUAACGGAGCGAAAGCUUUGCUAAUACCGCAUACGAUCUACGGAUGAAAGCAGGGGACCGCAAGGCCUUGCGCGGACGGAGCGGCCGAUGGCAGAUUAGGUAGUUGGUGGGAUAAAAGCUUACCAAGCCGACGAUCUGUAGCUGGUCUGAAAGGACGACCAGCACAACUGGGCCGGAGACACGGCCCAGACUCCUACGGGAGGCAGCAGUGGGGAAUUUUGGACAAUGGGCGCAAGCCUGAUCCAGCCAUGCCGCGUGCAGGAUGAAGGCCUUCGGGUUGUACACUGCUUUUGUACGGAACGAAAAGACUCUGGUUAAUACCUGGGGUCCAUGACGGUACCGUAAGAAUAAGCACCGGCUAACUACGUGCCAGCAGCCGCAGUAACAC
rnacentral:rRNA from 1 species